AUAACAAAUUAGUUAAAUAUAUAUGCAAUGACUACUUUGUUCACAAUUUAUUGCUUGGCUUUUCAGCAGAUGGUUGGCAUUCUUACUGGAACUGUUUACGCAUCAGAAAGGUAUUUGUUAAGCUCAGCAAAGUUUUCAUCUGCCAAUGGGGGGGUGUCAUCAGUGUAUAUACAGAUCUAUGUCUCUGUGACUGUGCUGGGAAGGGGAACAGUCCCCACCACACCCCAAAUAUAUGAUCUAAGCUGCUUCUAUCACUUGGGUUCAAAAGCCUCCUGGGGGUAAGCAUAUUAUUUUAAACAAAGAGAAAAAUCACAUAGCUUAAUCUAGAAACAAAGAGUCUUGGUGCUUAAAGAAGAGGAGUAAUUCUGAAUGAACUAGUGUUACAGUUCCUGACACUGGGAAUUACCUUCCUCUCCGACCACCUUGGAUUCAAAUCUUAAGAAAAGAGAGGACUAUAAAUAAAAAUUAAAAUACUGUUUGUAUUAAAACCAGUGACAGAGUACAUUACAGACUAUUUUGGAACCCUCUGACAGAAUACACCACAAUCAACAAUGAACAAAGCUUUGCCAGGUGUGGUGGCGCACGCCUGUAAUUCUAGUACUAGGGAGGCAGAAGCAGGAGGACUGCCUCAAGUUUGAGGCUAGCCUGGGCUACAUAGUGAGUUCAGGGCCAGCCUGAACUACAAUGGCAGACCUUGUCUCAAAAAAUAAAAAAAUAAAAAGCUUUGGCAUCUCUACUUUAUCAGUAUAGUGAUCACCAACUGUAUCCGGAAAAAAAUAGCAACAAUACACACAGAAGAGAUGCCGAGCAAUAGGACAACUUUCAGCAAAACACAGUAUCAAUGGUACAGACACGGCAACCAUGGCGAAUGGCAAAACCUACAAAAGAAGGUCAGGCCCAGCGACCUAAGGAGCCUUUCGGGCGGCCGUCCGACUCUCAGAUCUGGAAAGCGACGGGACCCCAAUGCCGUGAGAGGCUUCUCUUCUUCCUUCUUGCCUCAACUCAGAAGAAAAGCCCCCAAGACCUUGAGGUGAUGGGAAAGUUGCCCCCCUACAUCUUAUUCCACCCUUCUCAGAUUUGGGAGAUGUCUCAAAACUAACAAUUCCCACCUCCCAAAUUAAAAAGUUGAAAACAU
rnacentral:lncRNA from 1 species